rnacentral:tmRNA from 1 species
GGGGCAGACAUGGAUUUGACAGCGCGAAGAAUAGGUAUGUAAGCAUGUCGGGCGUAGUGAAGCCGGCCCGUAAAUCCCGGACGCAAAACUAUAAUUGGCGAAGAAAAUUACGCUCUUGCUGCCUAAUCUUUAGAAGAUUAUUGGCUUAAUUGCUGCUCAAGGAGCAGCGACGAGACAUCCCGCUGGUGGUUCACACCUUAUUCCGGCCAGUAUACGGGGUGCAGUUAAUAUAGGGUUAGCCUUAGCUUUCUUCGGGCGAAAGGCGAAAAUUCAGAAGAUAAGCGAUGGCUUGGGUGUCACUUUCCGGACCAUCGUCGAAAAUCAAUAAGCGACUAAGCAUGUAGAAAGCAUAUUGAUUCCGUGUUUGGACCAGGGUUCGAAACCCUGCUGCUCCACU